GCUCAAAUUUGAAAUCUGGCUUAGGCCCGAGUUGUAAUUUGCAGAGGAUGUUUCUGGCGCGGUGCCUUCCGAGUUCCCUGGAACGGGACGCCAUAGAGGGUGAGAGCCCCGUAUGGUUGGAUACUAAGCCUGUGUGAAACUCCUUCAACGAGUCGAGUAGUUUGGGAAUGCUGCUCAAAAUGGGAGGUAAAUCUCUUCUAAAGCUAAAUACCGGCCAGAGACCGAUAGCGCACAAGUAGAGUGAUCGAAAGAUGAAAAGCACCUUGAAAAGGGGGUUAAACAGUACGUGAAAUUGUUGAAAGGGAAGCGUUCAUGACCAGACUUGUGCUGGGCAGCUCAUCCGGGGUUCUCCCCGGUGCACUCUGCCCAGUUCAGGCCAGCAUCGAUUUUUGCUGGGGGAUAAGAACGGUAGGAACGUGGCCCUUCUUCGGGAGGGUGUUAUAGCCUACCGUACGAUACCCUGGCGGAGAUCGAGGUUCGCGCAUCUGCAAGGAUGCUGGCGUAAUGGUCAUCAGCGACCCGUCUUGA
rnacentral:rRNA from 1 species